ensembl:snRNA U6 U6 spliceosomal RNA
GUGCCCGCCUCGGCAGCACAUAUACUAAAAUUGGAACGCUACAGAGAAGAUCAGCAUGGCCCCUGUGCAAGGGUGGCACACACACUCAUGAAGCGCUCCGUAUUUUU